rnacentral:rRNA from 1 species
UGGGGAAUCUUGGACAAUGGGCGAAAGCCUGAUCCAGCCAUGCCGCGUGAGUGAAGAAGGCCCUAGGGUUGUAAAGCUCUUUCAGCGGGGAAGAUAAUGACGGUACCCGCAGAAGAAGCCCCGGCUAACUUCGUGCCAGCAGCCGCGGUAAGACGGAGGAUGCAAGCGUUAUCCGGAAUUAUUGGGCGUAAAGCGUCCGUAGGCGGUUUAUCAAGUCAGUUGUUAAAGACUGCAGCUCAACUGUGGGCGAGCAACUGAAACUGAUGAACUAGAGUGCGGUAGGGGUAGAGGGAAUUCCCAGUGUAGCGGUGAAAUGCGUAGAUAUUGGGAAGAACACCAGUGGCGAAGGCGCUCUACUGGGCCGCAACUGACGCUGAGGGACGAAAGCUAGGGGAGCGAAAGGGAUUAGAUACCCCCGUAGUCC